CCUACGGGGAGCAGCAGUGGGGAAUAUUGCACAAUGGGCGAAAGCCUGAUGCAGCAACGCCGCGUGAAGGAAGAAGGGUUUCGGCUCGUAAACUUCUAUCAACAGGGACGAAAAAAAUGACGGUACCUGAAUAAGAAGCCCCGGCGAACUACGCGCCAGCAGCCGCGGUAAGACGUAGGGGGCAAGCGUUAUACGGAGUUACUGGGGGGAAAGGGUGAGUAGGCGGCAUGGUAAGACAGAUGUGAAAGCCUUGGGCUUAACCCGAGGAGUGCAUUUGAAACUAUGAAGCUAGGGUGCAGGAGAGGAAAGCGGAAUUCCUAGUGGAGCGGUGAAAUGCGUAGAGAUUAGGAAGAACACCAGUGGCGAAGGCGGCUUUCUGGACUGAAACUGACGUGGAGGCACGAAAGCGUGGGGAGCGAACAGGAUUAGAUACCCGAGUAGUC
rnacentral:rRNA from 1 species